GUAGGUGAACCUGCGGAAGGAUCAUUAAUGAAAUGUUAGAGCGUUCUUUUUAGAGGCUCGACCAAUUUAUUAUCUUACACCGUGAACAUACUGUUUUUUACACCCAUUUUAAACACCAAGUCUAUAAGAAUGUAAAGUCUCUUCAUUGAGCAUCAAAAGUUAUUAAAACUUUCGGCAACGGAUCUCUUGGCUCUC
rnacentral:misc_RNA from 1 species